CUGAGAGAUAACGGCGCCUCCCUGUAGCCUCCGUUCUCAGCUGAUGAGAGAGUUGAUUUCACACCCCGAUAAUUCUUCAACAUCAGAUCGCUGGACCUGAAACUGACCCUAAAAAGAACAAGAAAUCCUGUCAUCAGGAAUCCAGUGAAGAACUCCAUGAUCCUAGAGCCAAAGCCGCUCAAUGAUCUCUUGGUGAUCACUGAAUUGAACCACCGAGGGAUCUGCUGGCUCUUCUAAAAUCACUACAGUGUCACUACCACAGCACUACAGCAUCACUGCCACAACCAAGAAAACCACCACCAUCAGAAAGCUCCUGCCUGCUGCCAGCUCCAGAACCAUGCAGCACCUGCAUCAACACCAGUAAAACAGAUGACUUAUGGCCCGCCUCUCAAGUCUUAAAAAUCCAUUAUGGGUCACUGGAGACUCUGCUAACAACACUAUACAGGAGAACCAAACAACAGUUAAAACUGCAGAAAUGUAGUCCCCGCCUCAUUUCUAGCCUCCAAAUUCCAUGUGACUACAUCUGAUUUGCUAGAUAUAGUUUGUUUAAGCUACAUUUUUUUUUCCAAAUCAUGACUGCCUGAGAA